GACGAACGCUGGCGGCGUGCUUAACACAUGCAAGUCGAACGGAAAGGCCCUGCUUUUGUGGGGUGCUCGAGUGGCGAACGGGUGAGUAACACGUGAGUAACCUGCCCUUGACUUUGGGAUAACUUCAGGAAACUGGGGCUAAUAUCGGAUAGGAGCUCCUGCUGCAUGGUGGGGGUUGGAAAGUUUCGGCGGUUGGGGAUGGAAUCGCGGCUUAUCAGCUUGUUGGUGGGGUAGUGGCUUACCAAGGCUUUGACGGGUAGCCGGCCUGAGAGGGUGACCGGCCACAUUGGGACUGAGGUACGGCCCAGACUCCUACGGGAGGCAGCAGUGGGGAAUAUUGCACAGUGGGCGGAAGCCAGAUGCAGCGGCGCCGCGUGCGGGAUGACGGCCUUCGGGUUGUAAACCGAUUUCGCCUGUGACGAAGCGUGAGUGACGGUAAUGGGUAAAGAAGCACCGGCUAACUACGUG
rnacentral:rRNA from 1 species